CAAUAGCGUAUAUUAAAGUUGUUGCAGUUAAAAAGCUCGUAGUUGGACCUUGGACCUGGACAGGCGGUCCGCCUCACGGCGAGUACUGUCUUGCUGGGUCUUUCCUCUUGGUGAUCUGUUGUUUCGGCAGCAGGGAACCAGGACCUUUACUUUGAAAAAAUUAGAGUGUUCAAAGCAGGCUCGACGCCGGAAUAUAUUAGCAUGGAAUAAUAAAAUAGGACGUGCGGUUCUAUUUUGUUGGUUUUUGGAAUCGCCGUAAUGAUUAAUAGGGACAGUCGGGGGCAUUAGUACUCACAUGCUAGAGGUGAAGUUCUUGGAUUUUGUGAAGACUAACUUCUGCGAAAGCAUUUGCCAAGGAUGUUUNCAUUAA
rnacentral:rRNA from 1 species